UGGAUGAAAAUGGACUUCUUAGAGUAGGAGGUCGCAUCUGUGAUUCAAACUUGAGCCCAGGUGAAAAGAACCCACUCAUAGUUCCUGGCCAACACCAUAUUGCAGCUCUUCUCAUUAAGCACUACCACGAGCAGACCCGACACCAAGGUCGCCUUUUCACAGAAGGAGCUGUUCGCUCUGCAGGAUGGUGGAUUGUAGGUGGCAAGAGAAAGGUGAGCACAAUCAUCUAUCAUUGCGUAACCUGCAAAAGACUUCGUGCCCCUAUGAGUACACAAAAAAUGUCGAACCUCCCUCCAGACCGUCUUACAACGGACCCCCCAUUCACUAAUGUGGGCUUAGAUGUUUUUGGCCCAUGGAUUGUGUCUUCACAGCGCACAAGAGGAAGUAUCAUCCAAAAUAAAAGGUGGGCUGUCUUAUUCACAUGCUUGAGUAUUAGAGCAGUUCACAUUGAGGUGAUAGAGUCUCUCGAUACCUCUAGCUUUGUUAAUGCAUUCAGACGGUUUCUGGCAGUAAGAGGACCUGUAAAAAGCAUUCGUUCUGAUAGAGGUACCAAUUUUGUCAGCGCAUGUAAAGAACUGAAGAUCCCCUCAAAUUUAGACAACACAGCUGUACAAACCUACCUUAAAGAUCACGGAUGUACAUGGACUUUUAACCCUCCACACGCUUCCCACUUUGGCGGGUCAUGGGAAAGAAUGAUUGGACUUGCCCGGAAAAUAUUGGACACAAUGUUUUUCCAGCUCAAGACCACUAAACUCACUCACGAAGUUCUUGUCACCUUUAUGGCAGAAGUGGCGGCUAUUAUAAACGCAAGACCCCUUGUCCCUGUUUCAUCGGACCCAUGUGACCCUUUCACUUUGACUCCGGCCACUCUUAUAACCCAAAAGGUAACCCCUCUUAAGGCUCCAGUUGGCAACUUUACAGCGUCAGACCUCUACAAACAUCAGUGGCGCCAAGUCCAGCACCUGUCAAACACCUUCUGGGACAGGUGGAAGAAGGAGUUCCUUCCCACUCUCCAACCACGUCGCAAGUGGCAUUCCAGUCAACUUAACGUGAGCGUAGGUACGGUCGUUAUACUCAAAGACAGCCAAAUUCCCCGAAAUGAAUGGCCUCUUGCACGUGUAACUCAGGUGUUCCCAAGUAAAGAUGGCAAAGUCCGUUCAGUAGAGCUAAGGGUAGUCAGGUCAGAUGAUACAAAGGUAUUGACCAGACCCAUCUCAGAAAUUGUACCUUUGAUUAUUUAAUGAGAGGUAUUUGUUUGUUUUUUCCAGUUAUUUUUGUGGCGUUUAUCCACGCCAAGCGGGGAGUGUUCUGUUACAACUAAAAGUUGUAAACUCUUGUUGUUGAAAUGUGUUGUGCUUAAAUAAGCUUGUUAUGUAAUUAAUAUUAUUACAUGUGUAUUUGUCGCCAUCAUGUGGUCAUGGCAGUUAAUACAUCUUUGAGAAGUGUGUAUUUUGAAUCAAACUUUAUUGACCGGAAGUUACAUAAGCCAAGCAGAGAAAUCUCCGGUUCCAGCACGUACUUUAUGGUGGUUAUUUUCGAAGAAAAACUGCAUAUAUCCUUUGUUUAAGGUUGCAUCGCCGUUUCACCCUUUUGAAUGUCAUUAAACCUGCUGACAACGCUCA